rnacentral:rRNA from 1 species
UGGUGUCUUAGGCGUAGGGGAACCACACCAAUCCAUCCCGAACUUGGUGGUGAAACUCUACUGCGGUGACAAUACUAUAGGGGAAGCCCUGUGGGAAGAUAGCUCGACGCCAGGAU